CGCUAGGCGGCGGCCCCGGGCUGGGCGGGCCGCUCUCCUGCCUCGGGGAGGGCGCCGCGCCGCGCCGCGGCCGCUGGCCGGACGGGACGAGACGAAGCAAGAUGGCGGCGGGCCCGGUGGGGAGCUUGAGGAGCAGGAGAAGAGGCAGCGUGUGCCCUGUUUGCAGUGCUGAAGUAACACCGAGACGCCUCACGGGAAACGGAUGAGAGCGGAUGGUGCCCUGCUACAGUGUAGGGCUGUACCAAUAUCAAUGCUACCUAGGCCACAGAAACUGGCACGCAGGUAUGUUCAUCAACAGAGAGGUAUUGCCGGGUCGAAAUAAGAGACAGACGAAAAACAUUUGUAAGGCAGCAACUGGAUGAGAAAAAAAAUCCCACAUUCAGUGGUCACAGAGAUAUGCAGCACUUACAAAAAGUCCAGAGAGAACAAAAUCUGUUGGUAUGCACAUUUAAAUACAUCUUGUUCAUAACAGGAUGCUAUGUUUGACGUCUCUUCCUGCAGCUAUGGAUUUGUUAUCAACUGGGUGAAAGCUCCUGUCAGAUACGCUUCAUACAACCAGUUGCAGCAGCAAAGGCUCUAUUUUUUCUAGAACAGAAACUCCACUUUAAUCUAUGAUAUCAUCAAGAGACAAUGGGAUUUGUCAUGCCAAUGCUAAACCGAGACUAAGCUUCAACCCUUUAUAUGGAUGGAACUGUUUGUUGAAAAAGGAAGCUGCAAUACUGAAAGCAGUCAGUGCUUGACUGCAUGAGACCAUGCCUCUCACAGAAGGCAAAUGAUGUCUUACUUCAAAAACUUUAUGAAAUGCAAACUUAGUUAAACCCUUUCACUCAGUUAAAUCCUUUCAAGUGUCUUCUCCAAGGCAACAAUAAACCAGUGAUUGACUUUUCUUAGAGCUGUUACUUGAAUAAUUGAGGAGGGAAAGCUAAGGUUCCUACUAAGGUAUGUACAAGAUGUCUUGCUCUCCCUUCAGAUUAAGAUUUUUAGUUUGAUUUACUAUGAAGACCACAGGGGUCAACUUAAGAAAAAAAAAAAAGGGCAAAAACCUUCUUUUAGCAUAGUGGAUUUUUUUUCCUCGUAGUAGCCGAAGUGCCUUUUUAGAUACCUGGUGAACUAAAACUUGAUAUGUAGCUGUUUCAUAGAGAACAAUUUUUUUAUUCACAGCUAGAAAUAGGUAGCCUCUGAAAACGUGAAGUUGUCAAUAUAAAAGAAUGCAACAGCAAAGUAAGCCAAUAAUUCAUAACUAUCACUAAAACAGUAGAAAAAUUGCUUACAAAGGCAAACAGUGAACUGAUUUUAAUUAAAUUAAGCAAUACUGCUGCAGGCAUUCAGAGUGCUCACAACUGUAUCUUCAACUCUAUAUUGCUGUAGUAAGGUGUGCUUCAGGUUGUUAAACUUGUGUGCUUUAAUAAUUUAAAUAACAUAGAUUGAAUAUUUUGCUUUAUAUUGUAUGCAUCUGUAUUGGGUUUGCAUGGCAAGGUUUUGGUAGCAGGGAGGCUACACGGGUGGCUUCUGUGAGAAGCUGCUAGAAGCUUCCCCCAUGUCCGACAGAGCCAAUGCCAGCUGGCUCCAAGACAGACCCGCCGCUGGCCAAGGCCAAGCCCAUCAGCGACGGUGGUAGGGCCUCUGGGAUAACGUAUUUUAAGGGGAAGAAAACCUGCAUGACUGCAGCUGAAGAGAGGAGUGAGAAUAUGUGAGAGAAACAACCCUGCAGACACCCAGCCCAUGGAGGUCCACGGUGGAGCAGAUAUCCACCUGCAGCCUGUGGAGGACCCCACGCUGGAGCAGGUUGAUGCCCAAAGGAGGCUGUGACCCCACGGGAAGCCCGUGCUGGAGCAGGCUCCUGGCAGGACCUGUGGACCCGUGGAGAGAGGAGUCCACAUUGGAGCAGGUUUGCUGGCAGGACUUGUGACCUGUGAGGGACCCACACUGGAGCAAUCUGUGCCUGAAGGACUGCAGGCCACGGAAGGGACCCAUGCUGGAGCAGUUUAUGAAGAACUGCAGCCCAUGGGAAGGACUUGCGUUGGAGAAGUUUGUGGAGAACUGUCUGUCUCCCAUGGGAGGGACCCCAUGCUGGAGCAGGGGAAGAGUGUGAGGAGUCCUCCCCCUGAGGAGGAACGAGCAGCAGAGACAAUGUGUGACAAACUGACUGCAAUCCCCUUUCCCCAUCCCCCUGUGCUGCUCAGGGGGAGAAGGUAGAGAAAAUCAGGAGUAAAGUUGAGCCCGGGAAGAAG